AAGGUGCCAAUGGACAUAUAUUGUCCUACUGGGAAGAGGCAGAGUCUCAGAGAACAGUUCUGACCAGGAGAAUCUACCUGCGAGGGAAGAGAAGACCGUGCUGUGGGGAGAGCAGGCUUAGAAGGACACAGCUUUGCUGAAUUUUCAUUCAGAGCAGAUGACCUAGAAACACUGUAUCAGCCACAAGAAUGUGUCCCCAC
rnacentral:lncRNA from 1 species